rnacentral:misc_RNA from 1 species
ACUCGACAUUUACCCUACACGGUGGCAUCAUUUCUCGUUGGCAGCUAUAGGAAUGGAAGCCCACGACACUGACGAACGGGCGCGGGGAGUGUCAACGUUCACUCGCGCCGAUCUCGAACUUAGGGAGGCUGCGGAGGAUCAUCGUGCUUUUCUGGCAGAAAAAUGGGCCAGCUACGCCGUACGAAAAGGCUAUUCAGAAGGUGAAGAGCAUACAAAGUGGAUAACGGAGACAUGGGAGGCGUUCGAGAAGCGGAAAGCGGCUCAAAAAUUGUAUCUUGAACGUCAUGAUUUGCUCUCUGAGUACAAGGCUGCGCAGCUUUCUGAGGCUCGAAGAUUGUCCGAGCGAAAAAGUGCUGCUGUUGUAGAGAAAAUGAUGGCAUUGGAAGCUGCACGAAAAUGUACAUUACUACAACCUCGGCACUUCCUCUUUGUCAACUAUUACGACUAUCAGCAAUUUUUGUUUCGAAAUCAGCGUUCCUUUGUAGAAAAUGAGGAAAAACUGCUGCGCUGCAAACUUUUUGAGACAGAAGAUGAUUUGAUGUGCUUGCUGGUGACGCAAUGGCACUUGAGUAGCCACCUCCACGCAGCGCGGGAAAAAGAGCGUGUAGAAGAGGAAGCUGCUGCUGAGCGACUCCGGGAGUUGCAAUACCGGCAGAAGUUGGAAGAAGAAAGGCUGCUCGAGGAACAGCGGAUUGCACAAGAAAAAGAAGCGGCACAGGCCGAAAAAGAGCAGGCGGAGCUUGAGAAGCGUCUCGAGCGGAAGAGGCGAGAUGAAGAGCGACGUGCAAAAGUUCGAGCCGAACGAGAGCAGCGAAGAGCUCAGGAAUGAUGUGUUGUUUUUUUCUUCUUUUGAUUGCUUUCUUUUUUUUUUUCGGUCCACGCAUUGCUCUGCAACGACGGAAAUGCGUUUGCCGCUGCUCUCUUCUUGCUAGGUGUGUUUAACAUGUAGCAUCAUGCUAGUUCAAACGCGUUGUAUACCGCGUUUCUGUUUUUCUUUCUCGUUGUGUCUAGAACGUCUUUGUUUUGUGCGCGAGAAUUUUAUUCCUGUGUCAUACCUUUUGAUCUCGUAGCGCAAGCGAAACGUACAGCGAGAAAUGUGCUCGACCUUGUAUUUGUGUUCCAUAGAAAAGAUGACUAUGUGAAAUUCUUCAAACAAUUAAAGAUGUACAUAUAUAUAUAUAUAGCAGUGUUUUCUUACGAGCACCUGUUUUGAUUUCUACCAAACAAAAAAAUCGAAACGUAUUAU